rnacentral:rRNA from 1 species
UACGGGGGGGGUAAGCGUUGUUCGGAAUUACUGGGCGUAAAGGGCUCGUAGGCGGCCAACUAAGUCAGACGUGAAAUCCCUCAGCUUAACUGGGGAACUGCGUCUGAUACUGGAUGGCUUGGAUUUGGGAGAGGGAUGCGGAAUUCCAGGUGUAGCGGUGAAAUGCGUAGAUAUCUGGAGGAACACCGGUGGUGAAGGCGGCAUCCUGGACCAAUACUGACACUGAGGAGCGAAAGCCAGGGGAGCAAACGGG